rnacentral:rRNA from 1 species
UACGAAGGGGGCUAGCGUUGCUCGGAAUCACUGGGCGUAAAGCGCACGUAGGCGGAUUGCUAAGUCAGGGGUGAAAUCCUGGAGCUCAACUCCAGAACUGCCUUUGAUACUGGCGAUCUUGAGUCCGAGAGAGGUGAGUGGAAUUCCGAGUGUAGAGGUGAAAUUCGUAGAUAUUCGGAGGAACACCAGUGGCGAAGGCGGCUCACUGGCUCGGUACUGACGCUGAGGUGCGAAAGUGUGGGGAGCGAACAGG